rnacentral:tRNA from 4 species
GGGAAGAUACUCAAGUGGUUAACGAGGACAGACUGUAAAUCUGUUGGUUUAUACCUUCGUAGGUUCGAAUCCUACUCUUCCCACCA